rnacentral:rRNA from 1 species
AUCUAUCGCCAUACCGCCCUGAAUGCACCCCAUCUCAUCUGAUCUCGGAAGCUAAGCAGGGUCGCGCCUGGUUAGUACUUGGGAUGGGAGACUGCCUGGGAAUACCAGGUGCUAUAGGCU